GGGUGUAGUUCUGGUUCAGUCUCUGGCAGUUGGGAGGGGGUUUGAAAGGUGUCUCCAGUGCUUCCUGGCCUGUGCAGCGUGAUGGCUCUGGGGAAGUGGCUCCCUCCCUCCCUACCCCCUUGGGUGAAUGUUCUUAUUUCUUAGCCUUGCAUGUUCUUUCCAGCUGAAAACUACUGAAGGGUUGCAAAUCAGAGCCCCUUGAGUCCUGAGGAUGGCCACGAUGUGCGCUGGGCAGGGUAGCAAUUGCCACUCCUUUCAGAUGCUCCUCGAAGUGCCACCACAGUCCAGACCUUAGUUGACCUGAAGCCACCAUUCAACCCCAGGUCGUCACUUUUUGAGGGGGAGAGACACCUCAAAAGAAAGAUGGAACCAAGCAAGGGGCGCCCUACCAUGCACCACUCCCUCAUGAGCCCUUUUUCUUGCAGGGUCUGGCCAAUGUGCCCAGGCUGGCCUGGGACUUGCCCAAUCCAAACCUUGUGAGUAGCUGGGAUUCAAGGCUUGUUGUGCCUCAAUGCCAGGCCGCCUAGGAUGCUUUCUUAGUACUUCUGGCUAUUUGUUUCUUCCCAGCCUGGUAGGUCAGGGAAGCUCUUCUAGGACGGGUCAAAUAUGUUUUCAGUGCCUACAUUGCUUGACUUAACAGUAUGAUAAUUGCUUCUUGGUCUUUUGGCUAAGAUCAUGUAUGCUAUGAGUCUCAUUCUCAUGUAGUUUCUGGGUGGGACUCACAUAAAGCCACCAGUUACUGGGGGUAGGAGAGGAUGGGUGGCCACUCAGCAGAAGCUCUUGGGUUUGUUCAAACCCCGUGAUCCGAUCACACUUCGAGUUUUAUUUUGUGAGCAGUGGAGUGGUAGGAAACUAGUUGAUUCCGUAGCUGCCCAGCUAAGUUUCAUUAAGGUUUUUCAUCUUUGACUUGCUCCCUAAUAUAAUCUUCCUCAUCAUUCUUUCUCUGUUGAGACGUGUAGUACAGCUCUUCUCUCGCGCCAUGGCAAGCACGCUAUGUUCUAUGUUCCAUGAGCUUGAGCUCUCUAAGCCAUGUGUGUAAUAUUCUGUGACUCGUGUUUUUCACCUGACAUAAUUUCCUCAAGAUUCAUGGCUGUUGUAGUUGGUUUCAGAAUUUCCUUUCUUUUUAUGACUGAAUUGUACUCUGAUGUACUCAUUGCCACAUUCGUUUUUUGUCUUUGUGGUGCUGAGGCUCCAAUCCAGAUCUUGACCCAUGUUGAGUCAAGAGAUUAUUUGACUGGCCUUCAGGCCAAGCACAAGUCCACAUUUUGUUUAUCCAUUAGUCUUUGGGUGGACAUUUUGUUGUUUCUGUCAGUCAAGAUAUUGCAAACAGGGCCUGGGGAUUUAGCUCAGUGGCAUAAGCACCUGCCUUGCAAGCAGAUUGUGAGUUCCAUAUGUGGUACCGAUAAAAAGAGAGAGAGAGAGAUUGGAAACAAUACUGCUGUGAGCAUGAAUGUGUAUCUUUUGCCACUUCUGUGUGUGUGUGUGUGUGUGUAGUAGUACUAGUAGUAGUAAUAGUAGUGGGGAUUGAAACUAGGCCCUUGCUAAUGUUGGACCAGCCCUGUACUACCGAGCUAUCCUUGGGGCUACCUGAAGUUUAAUUUUGAAAUGGGAUCUUGUUAAGUUUCCCAGGCUGGCCUCAAAUUCUUGAUCCUCUGGUCUUGACAGGCUAAGUAGCUGGAAUUGUAGACGUGCAUCAUCUCGCCCAGCUUUUCAACUACUUUUCAUUUGGGCUUCUUUUGAGUACUUAUUCACCAUAGGUCUAUGCUUUUUAAGCAUCACAAACACUGGCUGAUGUGUAUUACACUUAGUGUAGACCAGGUGUUCUUCUCAGUUCAUUCUAGCAUCGGAAUCCAUAUUGUUAGCCAGGUGUGGCGGUUCAUGCCUAUAAUCUCAGCCUUCAGGAAGCUGAGACAGGAGGAUCGUUGCAAGUUUGAGACCAGCCUGGGCUACAAAGUGAGCUCAAGGGCAGCGUGAACCACUUAGUGAGACCCUCAAACAAAGAAAAAGACCAACAAAAAAUCCAUGCUGUUGAGCUAGGCAUGGUUGUGGGUCUGGAGUCCCUGGUACUUGGGAGACCAAAGGAAGAGGGCACUUUGAGCUGAGGAGUUGGAGAGUAGCCUGGGCAAGAGGACAUCCUGCCUCAACAAAACAAAUACAAAAUGAAACUAAACAAAAUCAUAGUCUUAGCCCUACUGGUGCCUUAUAUAUAUAUUCGGUUAUACAGACUGCAGCUAAAUCUGUGCAUUAUAAGUAUCCACUUUUCCAGAACUUUACUUUAUGAGUUUUACUGCUUUGGGAAGAUUUCUGAAUAUGACCUAGUCAAAUUUUGUGUUUAAUUCUGACUUGGGUAACAUGCUUAGAGAAUCCUAUCAAACAUAAUUUUUUAAUUUGCAUUUUUCUGCACGUGACUUAGAUUUACAUCUGAAUACAUUAUGUGAUUUUAAAAAAACCAGGAUGAUUUAACCUGAGCAAGGUUGAUGCGUGCACACGCACAUACUUAGGAAGUGUUUUUUCCUUCUUCCUACUGGAGAGCUAAUUUAGGCAACCUUCUGGAGUGAUCAAUCCUUUUUCCAUCUAUAUGAAAUGGUUUGUUUUUCAUAUGCUUUAUGUACUUUGGUCCUGCGGAUCUGAUAUAAAACCUCUUUGUGUGGCUGUGUCUCUUUUAUUUGUCUUGUGGUAAUGGGGCUUGAACCCAGGGCAUUUGUAAUGAGCUGUUUCCAGCCCUUUUUUAUUUUUAUUUCUUAGUUUGAGAUGAGUUCUCGCUAGGUGGCUGCGUUUUGUGUUCUGGGCGUGAACUCGAUACUCUUGCUGGCCCAGCCACCGAGAGUGCUGGGAUUACAGAGGUGGACCACCGCAUCUGUUCUUCUUCCAAUAUCCUACUAACUUUGGUUUAUGAAUAUUUGAGAUACUUAGCUGAAGGGUGCUGUGUGUUUGUUCAUAAAGGAGAAUGAUCAGUGGGAUCCUGCUUGGGGCAGUAGAGUUACUCCAUGAAUUAAGAUACUUUCCCAGUUUUCCUUUGCUAAGUAUGUUAGUAUUUAACAAAUAUGUUUCUCUGUCUGUAUCUGUGUCUGUAUCUCUGUUUCUUCCUUCCCGGCUGUGUGUCUCUGUGUAUGCAUACCUGUGCAGGUGUGGUACUACCAGAUGAACCCAGGGCCUUUGCACUGAGCUAUAUCCCAAGCCCUGUUUGGUAUUGUGUUUGUUGUUGUUGUUUUUAAUUUUAAAACAGUCUCACUGAGUGCCCAAGCUGUGCUCAAAUUUGUGAUCCCCCUUCCUCAGCCUCCAGAAUCCUAGGAUUAUGCUUAUGUGCCACCAUGUCCAGCUACUUAUGGUUUUCUAAUCAGAGGGAUGCUGUGGCAGCCUUCAAAGAUAUUAAGAUCUGCAGGGAAUCUCUGAGGAUAUCAGUUUUCUUAGUGAUUUGUGACAGGGUCUCGCUAAUUCAGGCUGCUCUUGAACUCAUGCUGCAGCCCAGGCUGGCCUCCAACUCAGGGUUGGAGGCCUCGGCUUCCUGAGUGCUGAGAUGAGAGGCAUGCACUAGCAUACCUGGCUAUUUUGUUCUUCUUUUGUUUUUUACUUUUUGAUUGUUUGGUUGGUUGGUGUUGAAACUUGUAAAAACCUCUAGACUCAUAAAAAUUCCCUGGAGCCAAAGAAGGUUCUAGAUAAUGCUGGAAACCAUGCAACAUGUAGAUCCUGGGAGGAUGUUUACCUAGUGUUGACUUGCUUGUUUACCUAAGCCUUGCUUGAACCCUGCUUCUUUUUGAGGAAUGUAAUCACCGUGUUCCUGGUCUGUAAUGGGCCAGUGAUACCCCCACAUUGUAAAACUGACAGAUGUUGUGGUUUCAUGAGAUAAAAACCCUGCCCCUUAGCUGUAAGGCUCACAGUCUUCCAUUUUGGCCCCAGAAGGCUGCAUCGCCAGGCCUGUGCUUUAAUAAAUAAUCUUUUUCCAAAUUGUUUUCUCUGGUGCCUGCUUACCUCAGGAAAUGGGCUACCACAAUUGGGGGCUCAUCCGGGAUGAAAUAACAGCCCACUGACUCAAUUCCUGAGGACUGAUUCCCUAUAAAGACGCCUUUGACCUGAGAGGUCACAUGUUCCCGUAGGCUGACUGCCAUGUGUUUGGUCACUCUGAAGGUGCUGACAGUAUUCUUUUAAACCCCAGAUGACCCCCUGAUCAAGCAAAGAGAAUCCUGAGCUCUGUGAUUCUCUCCCUAUUGUUCUGUCUCUUCCUGUAUUCACUGAUAUUUACUCUUGAUUUUCUCUUCUCACAGGGAACCACAGCAGGCAAAAAUGGGACAGUCUGCCAUAAAAAUUGCUCCGUGUCACACCCCUUAGCCAACACGCUUCAGAAGAAUUGUAACCAACAAAGAAGAAAACUGGGGCCUCCUGGAAGAAGCAAAAAAGAUGGGAAGAUGAAGCAAUAACAAAAAGCCCCAGGCCCCAACCCUGAGAACACUGACCCAGGACAGGUAAAUACAAAAGAGAAUGAAAACAGCAAACAUGCUAUAUCAGACACAGCACCAGUGGACAUAAAGAGAUAUAUUUGGGACCUCAUAGAUGAGUUCAAAAGUGAAACAUUUAGCCAAAUAAAGCUAGAUAUAAGAAGAUUAAUAAAAGAGAUACCCAGCACCCCUCAAGCAGACACAGACAGAAGAAGGGAGGAACUCAAACACAGGAGAGAACCAUUUGGUGAAGAAUAUGAAAAAAAUAUAGAAUACAUGAAGCAGAUUCAAAGAGAUCACCAGGAAAUUAAAAACUCUAUGGAAAGAUGACAAAUCAGCUUGAAAGAAACUACGGAUAGAUUAUCCAAACUGGAGGACAAUUUUCCAAUGUGGGAGUAUGAAAGGGAAAACUUUUAAAAUAACAAGAAAACAAGCAGUCACAAUACAAAGGCUAGAAGAUGACAGAAGGAUCUAUAACUUGAGAAUAAAGAAUGUAAGUGAAGAAUCUGGGAUACAAACAAAGGAAUUACAAAGGUUAUUCACAGAAUUAAUUAAGGAACACUUCCCAAACAUAAGAAAAGGAAAUGAUAUUCUGAUAUAUGAGGCAUACAGAACUCCAGCCACCUACAACCAAAACAGAGCUACAUCCAGGCAUAUAAUAAUCAAGAUCCCAGAAAUUCAAUAUAAGAACAGAAUAUUAAAAGCUGUUACCCGUU